AUUGAACGCUGGCGGCAUGCCUUACACAUGCAAGUCGAACGGUAACAGGUUAAGCUGACGAGUGGCGAACGGGUGAGUAAUGUAUCGGAACGUGCCCAGUCGUGGGGGAUAACUGCUCGAAAGAGCAGCUAAUACCGCAUCCGACCUGAGGGUGAAAGCGGGGGAUAGCAAGACCUCGCGCGAUUGGGGCGGCCGAUAUCAGAUUAGGUAGUUGGUGGGGUAAAGGCUAACCAAGCAGACGAUCUGUAGCUGGCCUGCGAGGACGACCAGCCACACUGGGACUGAGACACGGCCCAGACUCCUACGGGAGGCAGCAGUGGGGAAUUUUGGACAAUGGGCGCAAGCCUGAUCCAGCCAUGCCGCGUGCGGGAAGAAGGCCUUCGGGUUGUAAACCGCUUUUGUCAGGGAAGAAAAGGUUCUGGCUAAUACCUGGGACUCAUGACGGUACCUGAAGAAUAAGCACCGGCUAACUACGUGCCAGCCGCCGCAGUAAGAC
rnacentral:rRNA from 1 species